rnacentral:rRNA from 1 species
UACGUAGGGUGCAAGCGUUGUCCGGAAUUAUUGGGCGUAAAGAGCUCGUAGGCGGCUUGUCGCGUCGGCUGUGAAAACCUAGGGCUCAACCCUGAGCUUGCGGUCGAUACGGGCAUGACUGGAGUUCGGCAGGGGAGACGUGGAAUUCCUGGUGUAGCGGUGAAAUGCGCAGAUAUCAGGAGGAACACCGGUGGCGAAGGCGGGUCUCUGGGCCGAUACUGACGCUGAGGAGCGAAAGCGUGGGGAGCGAACAGG